CUUGGGCUGAGGCGGAGGCAGCUUCUGCCGCUGAGCAGCGAGAAGUUGACUUGGGUCCUCGUUGUCGUCAUCACCCAAGAGAUCGAAAGGGUUCGCGGUUGCCAUUUCUGCAGCUCCGAAAAGUCCGAUUCAAUACCCUAGAAAUACACCGACUUUGAAAAGCAACCACGAAACCCUUCACAGAUUAUUCGACGCCAUGAAUCAGAGAUUGGUGGGAGUUGGGUUUAGAGUACGUUUGGGUGCAGAGAAAAUUGCAGAGAACGUUUUGUGAAAGGGUUGCUGUUGUGGCUACUGAAAAC
rnacentral:lncRNA from 1 species